UGAAGACUGUGUCUCUUCUAUUGGUGAGGAUGCUAUUUCAAUCAAUGCCCAUGUGAAGACCUUACAGGACCAGUACAAGAAGACCCAACCAGAUGCUGCAAUAGUGGAUGAAAAAAUGAAACAAACAUUUGCUUGGAGGAGGAGGGAAAUAACCAAUGGCAUUCCUACUGCAGAAAUUUUUCAGAAAUAUCCCUUCCUCAGGACCCCUUCAGUUUUAUUCCAGGAAAUGGGUCGAAUGCAUGCCGUAAAUUUAAGCCGGUGUUUCCAGGAUUCCUUCAGCAAAAUUGUGUCCAAUGUUUUGAGUUUGGCUAAGGGGAAAUCCGUUAUAGAAGCACAUUACAUGGAUGCCAGAAGAGAAGCUGUUGCAGAGAGUCUUUGUGAUAUGGAUUUUCGUGCUGCUCUGGUUUUACUUCCGGUGAUUUUCAGGGAGAAAGUGGACGAUUAUGUCACAAUCAGACAGG